GCUUGUUUCAGCAGCACGAAGUAUACCAAGGAAGGAUACAGAGAAGGUUAGCAUGGCCCCUGGGCCAGGAUGACACACACAUUCCUGGAGUGGUCCAUAUUUUU